UUUAGUAUUUGAAUGCCUAAUUUCAUUAUCAAAUCCUUUCCCAACUAGUUAGUCCCUGCCUCAGGUACAUACAAUAAUUGCCCAGUGAUCAUUCUAUCCCUAGUCUCAGCCUGGUGUCCCCAAAAAGCGGUGCUGUUAUCCCAGUCCCUUCUACCCCCAUCACAUUUAGGGUUUCAUUAAUUAAUAUAAGCCCUGAUACUUUACAGGCCAGUAAUGACCUAACUGCCUCAGUGUAUUGGGUUCACAUGGCAAGGUUCUGGUAGCAGGGUGGGGCUGCACUGGCAGCAUCUGUGAGAAGAAUCCAGCAGCUGCCCCGUGUUAGGUAAGGGCCAGUUUCAGCUGGCUCCAAAGGGGCCCACUGCUGCCCAGAGCCAAGCCAUGAGCAAUGCAGUUUGUGCCUCUGUGAGGGCACAUCCAAGAAACAGAAAAAAAAACAACUGUUGCGGAGCCCGUUUAGGAGCAGGUGAUCUGGGGAGGGGGGAUAGACCCCAGGGUGUCCCAAAGCCAGCGCAACCCACUCCUAACAAACAGACCCCACGACACAGACCUGCACCUGGAGCACCAAAGAACUUGUUGGUUUUUUUUUUUUUUUGCUGCCUGUGGAGAAACCCACACAGGAGCAGCCCAGGAAGGUCGGCACCCCACGAGAGGGACCAGAGCACCAGAGCAGGGGGGAGAGUGUCCGUGAAGGAGCAGGGGGAAGGAAGCACCACAGACUGACUGCAGCCCCUGCUCCUGGUCCCCCCGCACCACUCAGGGCAGGGAAAAGGUGGAAAAGAGUGAAGAGCGUGGAGGUGCCCCAGCUUGUUUCUCACUGCUCCAGCCUGUCAGCAACAGGGAGAAAGAAGCUGCAAUAAUUGCAACAUUCUGAUGGCAAAUACAAAACACACUAUGUCAAAGAAGGUAUCACAGAAACUAAGAGGAGGACAAAAGAGGAUAAAGGAGAAGAAAAGAAUGAAAAAGAAGUCCAAGCUUCUACUGAGAAACAGUCAGGACCACAACAGAGAGUGAUGUUCUUGGAGCUGGGAACCAUAUCAUACUAGUACAAGGGUACAUUACUGCAGUGCCUGGAAAAUGUAGAAAGCUUUGAAACAACGUUUGUCUUCUCUAAAAAGGUAUAUUCAGCAUUGACAAAAUGAGCAAAACUAUCACAAAUCUGAGGCAGCAUCUGCCCCAAGAAGACGUACAUUUAUGAAUCCUGACCUGACAUGAAUGUUAAUAAUGAUAUCAUCAAUAAGAAGAAAGCUUCUCCAGGAAGGGUAAUUGUAUAUGCAGAAAGAGGUAAAGGAUUUGUGUUCAAUUCAGAUUUAUUCUUUUUGUGCCACCUUAUACUCUCUCCUGCUUCUGAUUAAGUGUUUAAUUACUAAAACAAUCAUAUUGACUCCUAGCACAUGGAUACAGUUUUACACAGAGGGCUUACUUCUCUAUUGAGAGCAACAUGUGGUAGAUAUUUAUUCCAAAUGUCAGGUACAACCUUUAUUUUCACAAUGGCACUCAAGCAUGGUGCUCAGAACAGAAACAAACUGAGUUUAUUUAGUAACUGAUGAGUUAUUCCACCCCAUCAGCAAUAAUAAGUUAACAUUAUUAUAAUGAAAUAGAAUGGCCUUCCAUUUUUCAGUGCUUCAAAAUUUCCCUAUUCUAAUUAAUAAACUACUUUGAAAUAAUCUUUUUUAUUUCAGAUGUAUUCUACUUUAUUUCAGAUAAUUGUUAGUUUUAAUCAUAUAAUAACUUAAAAAAAAAAAAAAAGGAAGAAUAAAUAUCCCAACCUACUGAUAUUUUUAAUGACUCCAGAAGAGCUGAAUUUUUUUGUUUGAAUUUGUUGUUUUAUCAAAUAUUAUUUUCCCCUACACAACAGCCCAGUAGGUGCUAAUCCAAGUCACAUAAAAAUAAAUAAAUCUUAAUUCCUAAGCACACAAUUAUUUUUUUAAUAGACUCUAUUAUAAUAGGACAGACUGUUCAAGUUGAAAAGAGGUCUCAACUAUCAUCAGAGCUGCUCAAAAUCAAACCCUCUAGUGUUAGCACUUCAAUAAACAGGCUUGCGAUUGAAUUUAAGUACUUAAAUAUUAACAUAAAAUUAUUCUAGAUCAAAACGUGCCAAUGAGCUUUGACUCCAGGCCCAUAGUUAAAUCUUUCUGAAAGACAUAAUCAAUUUUGUGUAUUUGUUUUGUGCAACCUUUGUUUCACUUGUUAGCCUAAGUAUUCAUUUCUUUUCAAAGUUAGCAAGACAACACAUAGCAAUGUCUUUGAAAAUACCACUGUGCUUACAAACGAGAUUUCACAUCAUUUCUGACACUUGAUAUACUGACUCCAAAAGGCAAUAUUCAUGGGAAUGGUAAGCAGCAUUUACAACUUUGUAACAUUAGUCUCAAAAGUAUGCCUGACUCAUGUUCACUUGAAAGAGGUUUCAGCUCUAGGGAAAAUUACAAAAUGUAUUGCUGUCUAGGACUCUCCUAACAAUGCCAAUAUACAAAGACAUUUGUGUUUUUUAUAGAACAUUACAGAAAUAUAACAUUUUCUAUACAGGAAGAUUAAAAAUUGUAUGUGAGAUUUUAUGGAGACCUGCAACAAGCCACUAAGUCUUAAGAAAUAUUCAGUUAUGAUAAACUCUUUUAAUUAAACUCCUUUAUAUAAACUUCAUGGUACAUUUUAUAAGAAAAGAAUAGCAGAUUUUUAAGGUGGUCUAAAAUGCAUGCUCCCUUCAUCAUCUUCUGCGUGCAUGAAAUUUUAUGCUAUGAUUUUUUUUUUUUAAUAUAUCUAAUUGGUAUUGAAAUUAUACUUGUGAUUUUUUUUUUGUUUUAACUAGCAUAUAUUCAAAUAGAAUAAUUAAACAUACCAAAAUAACACUUGUUUAAUUUUGAAGUAAAUAUUCUUAAAGUGGGAAUGCCAUAUUCUUUACAGUGACAUAAACUCCAGAAUGUAAUUCUGUUGGUUAUUUUUUGUAAGUUUACUUUUUGUUGUCUAAGUACUCUCAUUUUAUGUAUGUUGUGAGCUUCAGAUGAGGUGUGGGAGUCUGAUUCCUUAAUGGCAUUUCCAGCUCCCCUAUCAUGUAAAGGUGUCUUAUUUUGGCUUAAAAAAAAAUAAAAUAAUUAAAAAAAAUAAAACGAACAAACAAACAAACACAUAAACGUAUUCUUCAUUUCAGCAAAAUUUAUCUGCAUUUUUCAUCCUGAACCCAAGUCAAGUAAGUGUAUUCAUGAGGUACAGAAAAUUAGAUUUUGUAUUUUGUAUGGAUAUGUUAUUAAAUAUUUUCUCUCUUCCUGGUAAACUAAGAGAUAUCUUAAGGUGAAAAUACUUACCUUAAUACUUAAGUAUUUGUAUCAACAACUGUAGAUAGCACUACUCAUGCUUUAGGGACCUGAAGAAAUAAAUAUGACAGACCAUAAUGCUCUGCCUGUAGAAAUAGCACUGUCCCAUUGAAGUUGGCAGUGCUGUAUUCUGACUUGUGCUUUGGUGAAUAUUUGACUGAAUGUCCUCAGCAGGUAAUUUUUAUGAACUACUAAAGGAGGUCAGCAUCGUGAAGUUAGCUUAAGUCUUACGGAACAGCUUCGGUAAUGUAAGUACAGAUAAACAUUAUCAACUAUUGUAUCACAGAAUCAUCUAGGUUGGAAGAGACCUCCAAGAUCACUUCCAAUUCCAACUCAAGUCCAACUUCUGACCUAACACUAACAAGUCCUGCACUAAACCAUAUCAUUUAUUGAUGUAAUUCCACUGAAGUCAAUAGAGUUACCUACCUUAGAAAAGAGAGCCUUGGAGAGUGCUGUUGUGGAUGGCAACGAGUGUGACUCAUCUGGCUGUAGAGCUGGAAAUGUAAUAUUAAAGAAAAUAAAUAACAAGACUGAAAAGAGCAUUAAAUGAGGAAAUGAGGCACGAAUGCGUGAAACAGAGGAUGAGCUGUUUGGUACUUUCAACACAUUUUCCAAAGCCUCUUCAUACCAGCUAAUGGAAUAUUACUAACUUUGGGAUCUUGACAGAUAGACUGAGAUCUGACAAUGUUUGUUAUUUGUCUUAUACAAGCCAGUUUAUUUCCUGAACAUGAAAAAUAACAGAAUGAACAUGAAGACCUUCUGACCAAGAUCUUUCUUCUUGGAAAAUAAACUGUGAUUCAGCAGCAGUAUAAGUUACAGGGCCAUCUCUUUCUGUACAUUUCCAUCACGGCUGCAUUCAUUAACGGAAAUUAAAAGAAGGUGGAUAUUGAAGUGAUGCUGCAGGAAACAGUCUUCCCAAAGAGCUGAACUUUCUGCUCCCUUGUUGCUCAUGGCAAACUCUGCUGACUCCUGUCACAACCCUGACUGGCAGCUUUUUCCCAGAGGUAAUGAAACAGGCUCCACUCAGGAAAUUCCUGUAAUUGCAUUAUUUUUCAGGUGCUGAAAACAUUCAUUUGUUGCCAAAGUUCUUGUGAAAGAAAAGACUAAUAUAGAAUAAUAGAGCAUAGGAGAGAGGUAGUGAAUUUUAUGCUUAAAGUUAGUGCUAAAGUAUAACAAAAAAAUUGUUAAUUAAUUUGUUCAGACAAUGAAUGGUAGUUGACUGCAUUGCAACGUUCCCCACAAUGACUUAAAAUUCUAUUUGAUUCUUUAAUAGAGGGACAUGAUUUUCAUGAUGUACAUGUAUUACUGUUUCAUGAUGCUGCAGCACCAGGUCAUGGUUUGCAGACAGAUGUCUUCUCAAACACUGACAUUCUUUCACACUUCGUAUCACAACAGAGAGUGAUAUUUCAAAAGAGUUAAAACCACUCAAUUUCCUACAGGUGAUCUUUUUCCAGAUAACUAAUUUAGACAUGCUGAAAAUGUAAACCUACUGUUAAAUUUUCAUUCACAAGGAGGACAUUUUUAACACAAUGUGGGGAUAAUUAAGGUGAUUGAGGUAAAGGAUGUUCUAUUUUUAUACUUUCUUUAAAAUUACCAUAUAUUAGAUUUAUGAAAAUCUUUUAGACCAAUUUAAUUUCAGAAUAUCUAAUUAUUAACUAAGCUACCUCACUAUAUGUCUAAAAAUAACAUAAUUAUGCAUUCCUUAAGAUCGCCAAAAUCCAUAUGCUAAAAGGCUAAGCACAAUAAAACGUAAUAGGAAACAGAUUUCAGAGUAUAGUAGGUUGUACUGCGUAUAGGCUGUUGUAUGGCCAAAUUCCUACAAAUAAAGGCUAUGAGCUAUGAUCUUGAAAUUCAGUUGUAUGUUAUUGUAUUGUUUUCCAAGUCCAAUGUAAAUAAUUAAGAAUCUUAAAUAAUAGAGAGUUAGAAACUCUGUUUUUGGCAGCUUGAAGACCUCUGCUGCUUGAUGUAAGAUGACUAUUAAUAAAGAAUAACUUACUUGAAACGUGAGUUAUGCUGACAUAGUAUCAAACGUGGGCUGAAUAGGUAAAAAGUAAUUAUUCUCAAGAAACACCAAGUAGUACUGUGAUAUUCCAAUAAUCCUCUUCUCUACAAGAAUGACGCAUCAAUCAUCAGAGAAAACUCAUUUUAGCUCUUCUCCCCUCUACUGCUGCUUCUUAAAUUCAGGAGCUGUGCCUCUUUGUAAUUGGCUUAGCGAGCAGCUCCUGCUCUUCUGCCCACCUUAUGUUUUGGCUUGAAUAUAGUAGCUUUGCACUUAGAGCAAAAUUAAGUAAAACACUUACCAGUCUGUGGAAUAAUGAGAAUUUAGAUGCUCAAGUCUAAAACCACCGUUUCUUUAUUUGCUGACAUCAGCUCCUGGAAGUGUGGUUCACAGCAAAUCUGAAAGGAAAUAAACAUACACUGCUGUUUGUUCCUAACUUUGUAAAGGUGUUUUCCAUUACAGACUCACUGGAGGAAAUAUGAAAUCAAGGAUAAAAACCGAAGAUUCCCAUAGUCAGGAGAAUGUCCUGAUCACUAGCUAGUAUAAAAUUGUUAAACAAACGGGUAGACUCCACUCCCAGUCUCUGACAUAUGAAACUUGUACACACUUACCUUCAAAUUUAACUACACCUAAACAUGUAAGUUGUAGACCAUGUGAAAAACUGAAGUCUAAUAAGAAACUGACAUAAAAAAAAGAGAUUUUUAAGUUUAAGAAAAAAAAUGGUUCCUUCCAAAAUUAAACAUUCUGACAAUGUGCUGCAAGGAAAUUUGAUGAUUCUAAAUUUCUUCUAGAAAUAGUU